GUCGUGCCCCACCCAGACUGCGGCGGCUACAGCGGAUCUUGAACCAACCGCGGGCCUGGGGAGUUGAUCUCCAGCGACUGCCGGCUGCAGCGGCCUGAGUACUAACCGCAGGUCUCCCUCACAGGGCCCACCUCCUUAAAAAUCACCCGGCGACAACCUCUGUCGAUCAUCCAAGAAGACACUGAAUGACCUGGACACUCUUCAACCUACAGCUGCUCCUGACGUGACUACUACAAGACCUCUGGACCAGCGCCCUGACAGAAACCUUCGAGGACCUGACCACGCUGGUGUCUGAACUGUGGCUUAAGGGAACCUUCUACAACCUAACUCUAGACGAAAUUUAUUUCUUUACUCUCGUCCUCUACAUCAUUCUACAUCCAAUUCGUCUUCCCCAGAUUCAAGCUACCACAAAUUUGGGGCCUUCCGCCUCUCGCCAGAUUGGCCUCUCCCCAUCUCUCUAGCCAUAACCGCACUCUUAACCUUAGCCCUUGCUAUAGGCCUAACAACUGUCUCCCCUCUAGACUGGUCAUCCAUCCUCCGUCUCUGUCAAUGCCACCUACGCUGUCAGGAUUCUAUUUCUUCCUCAUUGUCUAACUACCAGACCCAUGACUCCCCUGUUCCUUAUCCUUGCUACACUCCCCGGCCUUCUGGCUAGUUCCUGCCCCUGUGAUGAAAUUCAUUCCUUUGUCCAUUCCUCAUGCUAUAACACGGCCCCUAAGCCAUGCACCAUGAACAUCGGGGCGGGGAAGUCCAAAUCCCUGUUCACUGUUAAGGUACAGAAGACAGGGAGUGCUGUGAGCAGUUGCUAUAAGCCAAAUGGGAAAGACAUCUGUUUCUACCCCACUACCCACUGGGGGUACUCAGACGGGGGAGGGGCGCAAGAUCAACAGCGUAAAAAGAACCAAGAACAGCUUAUAAGAAAUCUGAUUGUAAAAAGAAUCAAGAACAGGUUAUAAAAAACCGAAUCUCCCAGUUACAGGCGACCCCUGAGCCCUAUAGACGCCCAGACCUCCUUUCCCAAUUACGGCUCCUCCUAAAUCCUCCCUCUGACAACUGACAUCUUACCCUCCUUAACUCCUUCCAAUUCUUCGAGAACACACGCUACACAUCGCAGUGCUGGAUAUGCAUGUCGCAGUCUCCGUCACUACACAUUGUGGCUGUCACAGGGCAACUAUACCUUCCCUCCCCAACAAAACGCCACACGACUCAUUGGGCCAGUCUCUGACAAUAUCCUCCUCUCGGCCCCUUCAAACCUAACCUGUGUCAACUACUCUAGUCCCAACACCACCGGCCUCACAGACUCCACCCUCCUUCUGUUCCACUUGGGUUCUCUGGGACAGCACAAGGAAUUGCACCAGCCUGGGAAUCUUCACUCUCCGAGGGACCUACGCCUACUCAUGUCUUCACCCCAAGCCCCCUGGACCUUGCAUCUUGGUCUUUGUGACCAAGGUCUUACCAUCCUAAAAGACAAAGAGAUAGAACAAGCGGUCGAUCCCCAGGUGAAACAUUCCCACAGGAAAAAACGGGCUGUCCCGGCCCCCCUCCUGGUUGGGACUGGCACAGCGGCGGCUCGGCACCAGCAUCAGGGGCAUCUCGUCCUCGGCCCAUUUCUACUGCACACUGUCCCGGGAACUUAAUGAGGACGUGGAACUGGUGGUGGAGUUCUUUGCUGCAGUCCAAAGACAAAUGAACUCACUGGCUUCUGUGGCCCUACAGGAUAGACGAGCCCUGGACCUUCUCACCACAGAAAAGCGAGGAACCUGCCUUUUCCUGGGAGAAGACUACUGCUCUUUUGUUAACGAAACAGGCAUAGUCCAGGGUAAGGUCAGAGAACUUAGAAACAGAAUCAGAAGAGUUAUAAAAUCUUUCAACUCUCCACAGCCUGUUCCAACUGGCCCUCCCGUGGUUACUCCCUUUCUUGGAGCCAUAAGUACUUUUAUUUGGACCUGUUUCUUCAGUCUCUUACAAAGUUUUCUCCAAGACCAGAUUCAGGCCAUCUCUCAAGACCAAGUCAAGGCCAUUCUUCUUGAGAGCCUCACCUCAACAUUGGAAAAAUGAAACCCUGGGCCCUAUAACAAUCCUCUGUUCCAGACCCCAAAACUGUUGCCCCUAUCCAACAGGAAGUAGCCAGAGAGAUACGGCACCCUUUUCCCAUCCUUUUCAGGAUCUGGAAUGAAGGAGUCCUCAGGCCUAGAAAAAGAAGAUGUCUACCUCAAGGGCCCUUGCUGAACCACCUGACUUUGGGGAAAACAAAAGUGAACUUUAAGCCCCACCCCAAUACUCCAGGCAGAUUGCAUCAGCGUGGAACUUUCCACCCCCUGCUCAACUGCAAAUGCCAUCUCAGGUUGAAAACUACAGGUACAAGCCAGUGAAGCCAGAGUGCCCCCUGAUGCUGGUGUUCUAACUGACCCACACCAACUAGAUCCCUCUGCAGCGCACACACACAAGUGCGUCUAGUGAGGCCAGCUGUUCUCACAUAACUUGUAGCAGCUAUGGAUCUGCAUUGGCAUAGGAGUUGGGUCAGUGGGAUAAUGCUGGUGGUUUAAUUCUCCCAGACCUAUGAAGUGGGUAGUGUAAAAUGAUAGGUGAAGCAAUAGUUCAGGUAGUGAAUUAAUAUUCCAUCACAUAUGCAUAGCCCUAAACAAGGAGCCUCAUAUGUACCUUUUUGGCCAUGUAAACUGGAAAGUCAAGUAUCUCUUGAGAUUUAGUGUCCUCUUGUAACAGUAGAAGUAUUCAAAGAGAUUAGGCCAUUUCAGGAGGGAGUUAGGAUUAGAGACUUACUGAGAAUGUAUAUCAAAAUUUGGCACAAAGGGACCAUUCUUCAGCAUGUUAAAUGUUGCUGCUGAAUGUAGCACAGUGAGCUAUAAGAAGGAAUUUAAAGGACACAAUGAUGCUACAUUGUUAGAAUUUUGAAAGUAUUGGAGGUGAUGAUGGGAAAGUUUUCAUAUAGGAAGAAAUGUCAUUGUAGCAAAAUUAAUAGCCUAGUAGGAGCUAGGAAUUCUUCCUGUUGAUCAGCUCUGAAUGUUUGCAGAUACCUCAUUUUCCAGAAAUCUUAAAGGUAUUUGCCUUGGAUUCACUCUUAAUGCUUAUUUCAAAACACUGUUUUAAUGUAAAUCCAUGGCUGAUUCAUGUCAAUGUAUGACAAAAACCACUACAAUAUUGUAAUUAGCCUCCAACUAA